rnacentral:rRNA from 1 species
GUCCUAAGGUAGCGAAAUUCCUUGUCGGGUAAGUUCCGACCUGCACGAAUGGCGUAAUGAUGGCCAGGCUGUCUCCACCCGAGACUCAGUGAAAUUGAACUCGCUGUGAAGAUGCAGUGUACCCGCGGCAAGACGGAAAGACCCCGUGAACCUUUACUAUAGCUUGACACUGAACAUUGAGCCUUGAUGUGUAGGAUAGGUGGGAGGCUUUGAAGUGUGGACGCCAGUCUGCAUGGAGCCGGCCUUGAAAUACCACCCUUUAAUGUUUGAUGUUCUAACGUGGACCCGUGAUCCGGGUUGCGGACAGUGUCUGGUGGGUAGUUUGACUGGGGCGGUCUCCUCCUAAAGAGUAACGGAGGAGCACGAAGGUUGGCUAAUCCUGGUCGGACAUCAGGAGGUUAGUGCAAUGGCAUAAGCCAGCUUGACUGCGAGCGUGACGGCGCGAGCAGGUGCGAAAGCAGGUCAUAGUGAUCCGGUGGUUCUGAAUGGAAGGGCCAUCGCUCAACGGAUAAAAGGUACUCCGGGGAUAACAGGCUGAUACCGCCCAAGAGUUCAUAUCGACGGCGGUGUUUGGCACCUCGAUGUCGGCUCAUCACAUCCUGGGGCUGAAGUAGGUCCCAAGGGUAUGGCUGUUCGCCAUUUAAAGUGGUACGCGAGCUGGGUUUAGAACGUCGUGAGACAGUUCGGUCCCUAUCUGCCGUGGGCGCUGGAGAACUGAGGGGGGCUGCUCCUAGUACGAGAGGACCGGAGUGGACGCAUCACUGGUGUUCGGGUUGUCAUGCCAAUGGCACUGCCCGGUAGCUAAAUGCGGAAGAGAUAAGUGCUGAAAGCAUCUAAGCACGAAACUUGCCUCGAGAUGAGUUCUCCCUGACCCUUUAAGGGUCCUGAAGGAACGUUGAAGACGACGACGUUGAUAGGCCGGGUGUGUAAGCGCAGCGAUGCGUUGAGCUAACCGGUACUAAUGAACCGUGAGGCUUAACCUUACAACGCCGAAG